GGUGUUGCAUGGCUGUCGUCAGCUCGUGUCGUGAGAUGUUCGGUUAAGUCCGCUAACGAGCGCAACCUCGUCGUAUGUUAUAUGUGUCAUACGAGACUGCCGGUAAAAAGACCGGAGGAAGGUGAGGAUGAUGUCAAGUCAGCAUGACCUUUAUAUCCAGGGCUACACACACGCUACAAUGGUCUGUACAAUGGGUAGCCAAGCCGCGAGGCGGAGCCAAUCCUGAAAGCAGGCCUCAGUUCAGAUUGCAGUCUGCAACUCGACUGCAUGAAGCCGGAGUUGCUAGUAACCGCAGGUCAGCAAUACUGCGGUGAAUACGUUCCCGGGUCUU
rnacentral:rRNA from 1 species